rnacentral:lncRNA from 1 species
UGAAGCCCCUCCCAAGCAUGAGAUCUCUUCCUAGACUCACCAGAGUGUUCUCCUGCCUGGUCUCAGGAGAUCAGCCCACCCUGAGGGCUCCCUCGGCUCCUGAGAACAUGGGGUCAUCCAGCCUCACCCCAGUCUGAAAGGGGGCACCCUUGCAACUCUCUCACCCACCGUGAAACCUGUCCUCUCUCCACUUGCAUGCUGUGUGGACAUUCAUUCCUAUGACCCUGAGACGCUGGACUUGUCUUGGUCCAAAAGGCGAGGUCUCUGGGUCAUUCUACAGGACAACAAUGAUGGAUUUCCCUAGGUUUGAAUCUCACUAAUCUUGUGACUCUCUGAGCCUCAGUUUCCUCAUCAGAAUGAGGAUAAUGGUACCUGCUCCGUAGAGGUGGGAGGAUCAAGUAAGUAAACCAGGUGCCACAAUUAUGAGUCACUGAGGACACAUUCUCUCCACACUUCCCUCAGGAGGACAGCCCUGGCAGCCUGAGAAGGGGGCCAAGAGAUGUCUUCUCCACUUCUGGCUGUCCUCUUCCUAGGCCCAAAGGUGCUGCUGGCCAUCGGCGUGUUUGCCAUCUAUGUCCACAGGAAGUGGAGGGCCUGACUGAGAACAGCACCAGAGACAUAGGAGGCACUCAGGGAAGAUUUCUGUAACGAUGAGCAGACAAUGAAAUGUGGACAUGUUUCCCACAGCUCCUUCUUUCCUCUCCUGCUACAUACCACCCUCAGUCUCUGUUGCCUCCUUCCUUCCCUGAGGGGUCUAGCUUAAGAGAAGGAGCCUACAGGAAGUUUUCACGACUCUGCUCCUAAUGUCCCCCAUCCGCAAAGACCUGCCUGUUCACACACUCCUGCUGUUCCUUCUCUCAGUCCUUGAUGCCCCCAGAGCUGGGUCUUCAAAUACGGUCCUGAACAGGAGCCAUGGGAACUAGCUCUGGGGACUGACUCAAGACAUCUCCCCAGAAGGUGAGAAACAAGUCAA